rnacentral:lncRNA from 1 species
AAUGGGAGUCAGGAAUAUUCUCCUGAUGGCAUUUAUUUAUUUAUUUAUUUAGAGAUGGGGUCUCACUAUGUUGCCCAGGCUGCUCUCAAACUCCUGAUCUCAAACGACGUUUCUGCCUCAGCCUCCCAAAGUGCUGGGACUGAAGAAGCAAAAUGCCUUGCUGUGGAGAAGACCACACAGCAGAGAAUGAUAGGCAGCCUCUAGGAGCUUAGAGCAGCUCCAGCUGACAACCAGCAAGAAAGCAGGAACCUCAGUCCUAUACCCGUCAGGAACGCUGGCUGCCAUUGCAGCGCGGGCAGGCCAUCUCUGGAGCCAGCCACUAGUGGGCUUGGACGAAGACUUCAGUGAGAUGAGACGAGACGAGAUGAGAUGAGAUGAGAUGAAAUGAGAUGAGAUGAGAUGAGAUGAGAUGAGAUGAGAUGAGAUGAGAUGAGAUGAGGUGAGAUGAGAUCACAGCCCAGCUGACACCUUGGUGGUGUCUCAGCCUUGAGAGACCCUGAGCAAGGGACCAAGGGCCCAGCUGAGCUGUGCUGGACUCCUUGACCCAUGGAAACCGUGAGAUAAUAAAUGGGUCCUGUUUUAAGCCACCAGGUUUGUGAGGAUUUGUUACACAGCAAUAGAAAACUAACACAGGACCUGUACUGCCUACUUUGCAGAGUUGUCUGAAGAUGAGGAAAAAAGUGUGUAAAGUACCUGGCAUGAAGAAGACUACAAUAAACGGCAUCUCAGAAACUCGGUCAGGCAGCAGCUGGAGUGUCUGCGAUGGUUUCCCCGCCCCUCAGGAAAGACCCUGCCUCUCUGCAGAUGGCCUCUCAGACCUGCCUUCACAGGAGGGCGGCCUAUGUUAGAGCAGAAAACCUGUGCUUGGGGAACUGAACUUUGAGAAAUGCAAAGCGCCUUGGUGUUCCGGGAUGAGCACAUUGGAGCUUAGGUCCCUCCAUUCCUGGUAGUAGAGAAAGCAGCGGAUGGUUCAGCCUGGAGGCAGAGAAAGAGCCCAACAAUUACAAGGAAGCUCAAGAUUCAUCUUGGAGGAUAAGCAGCAGCAAGAGCCUAUGGAGGCAGGGAAGAAGCCUCUGUCAAGAGGUGCUGUUCACUUUUGUAGAUCUCUAAUAAAAAUGAAGUUUUCAAUCUCUAUCAAAAUACCAGUGACAUUCUUCACAGAAAUAGAAAAAACAAUUCUAAAAUUUAUAUGGAACCCCAAAAGACCCAGAAUAGCUAAAGCUAUCCUAAGCAGAAGGAACAAAACUGGAGGAACGACAUUAACUGACUUCAAAUUACACUACAGAGCUAUAGUAACCAAAACAGCAUGGUACUGGCAUAAAAACAGACACAUAGAUCAAUGAAACAGAAUAGAGAAC